rnacentral:rRNA from 1 species
CGCUAUUAAGGUUCGUUUGUUCAACGAUUAAAGUCCUACGUGAUCUGAGUUCAGACCGGAGUAAUCCAGGUCAGUUUCUAUCUAUAAAAAAUUUUUUCUAGUACGAAAGGACCGAAAAAAUAGAGCCCAUUACCAAACAAUGCUCUUACACAGUUGAAAACAAAUAAAACACGCACACACAAACACAUCCUAGAACAGGAUAAA